UUUUGUUGAUGUUGUUGGGGUUCUCUAUGCCUCCUGGGUCUGGAUAUCUGUUUCCUUCUGUAGAUUAGGGAAGUUUUCACAAGACAGGGAUGUCCACUCUCACGUUUUCAGCUAUUAUUUCUUUAAUUAAAUUAUCUGCCCCCUUCCCUCUCUCUUCUUCUUCUGGGACUCCUAUAAUACAAAUGUUACUAUGUUUGAUGAAGUCACUGAGUUCCCUAAGUCUAAUCUCAUUUUGCAUAAUUCUUUUUUCUCUCUUUUGCUCAGCUUGAUUACUUUGCAUUACUCUGUCUUCUAGGUCAUUAAUUCAUUCCUUUGCUUCUUCUAGCCUGCUGUUUAUUCCAUCAAGUGUAUUUCUUAUUUAUUGGAGCCUUUAUCUGUGCUAUUUUUUUUUCUCUAUGUUAAUGAUCUUAUUUAUGUCCUCCACUCUUUUCUCAACUCCACUGAGUAUCUUUAUGAUCAUUGCUUUAAAUUCUCCAUCAAGCAUGUUACACAUGUCUGUUUUGCUAGAUCUUUGGCCGUGACCUUGUCCUGCGCUUUCAUUUGGGACAAAUUCCUCUGUUUUCUCCUCUUAUCUAAAUUUCUGUGCCUGUUUCUCUGUGUUAGGGAAGUUCAGCUACAUCUCCUGUUCCUGCAAGUAAUAUCUUUAUUGAAGAAGAGGUUCUGUGGUGCCCUGCUGUAUAGUGUUCCCUGUUCCCCAGGGCCAGGCACUUCAGUGUGUGUUGCUUGUGUUCUGGUCUUGUAUCCUGGCCACUUUGUCCAUCAGGCCAGUCAUCCACAGACUCUCUCUUUACCUACUUUGGUCAGGGUUUGUUCCCUGGCCUGAAUGUGGCAAGUUUUAACUAGGUGUGCUCUGGUCUGUUUGUGAAAUGAAAGCUGUUGCUGCCACCACCAGAAUCAAGGCCUCACAAAACUCAAGCAUCAGGAGACACGAUGCUAGCAGGGGUUUGUGCCAGUCUUCUGGGGAAGCGCAGAUCUGGAACUGAGGCAAGUGUGACUGGGAAGGGAAGUUUCACAAGAGCACAGGGAGUGGGACUUGGCAUAAGCAGGUUAGGUAGGGAGUAUAGGCAUUGUGCUGGUUCCCACAGGUGGCACUUUGUUCAUGCUAAAGAGCAGGGGAGGGAAAUGGCUCCUGCCAGUUCCUUUGUUCCCAAAGGGGUCUCUUAUGAAUGCUGCCUCCCUGAGGCAUGCUCUGAGAUGAACAACUAACCUCCCCAUUUUGUGCUCCAGGUACUCUUCAGAUCACUUUUUCCCUUGCUGUUUAUCUGUGGGCUGUUUGCCUGCUUUCUCUCCAAAAGUAGCGCACUGCUUUCCCAGGCUCUAUCCCAGCCAAACUCAUUGACCUUUAAAACUCAAGGCUUUAAGCCCUGCUGAUUGCCAAAACUCAUGAAAUUCGACCCUUCUCUGUCCAAGCCAGUUGCUAUGGGGAUUUAUUUUCCCUGUGCACUCUGCUGUGUGCUGGGCUUUCUCUGGCUCUUCUCUGAGACUGUGGCUCCCUCCCCACUGCAGGGACCAUAAUCCGUUUCUCUCCCAAAUCUCAUCUCCUCACUUCCUACCUUCUUCAAUAUGGCCUCUUCUCUACCUUUAGUUGUGGAGUUUGUUCUUUGGUCUUCAGAUUGAUUUCGAGGGUAUUUAGGAUGAUUUAAUAGAUGAGGCAAGCCUAGAAUCUGCCACCAUCUUCCUCUCUGACCUCUGUAACCUGCUUUUAAGUUUCACUGAUUUCUGCCCUAAUUUUUAUCAUUUAUUUUAUUCUGCCUGCUUUAGGCUUUAAUGACUUUUCUUUCUUUCGUUUCCUAAGGUAGAAAUUUAGAUUAUUGAUUUCAGAUCUUUUGUCUUUAAUACAUUCAUUUAAUGCUGUAAGUUUCCCUCUAUUCAUAUAUCCUAUAAAUUUUGAUAAGAUGCCCUUUACUUAGAUUGAAAUAUUCUUAAAUUUCUCUUGAAAAUGCUGUUUUGACCCAUGUGUUAUUUCCAUCUCCAACUAUUUUGCAAUUUUUCAGCUCUAGUUCAAUUGUUGAUUUCUAGUUUAAUUCUAUGGUGGUCUGAGAGCUGGUUUUGUAUCAUUUUAUUUUUUUUAAAUUUAUUAAGAUGUCUUUUAUGGCCCAGAAUAUAGUCUUAGUGAGUAUUUAUGUGAACUUGAGAAGAAUGUGCAUGCUGCUAUUGUUGCAUGAAGUUCUUUGUAAAUGUCAAUUAGACACUGUUGAUUGAUAGUGAUGUUCAGGUAAAUUGCAUCCUUACUGAUUUUCUGCCUGUCUGAUCUAUCAAUUAUCUAUCAGUUUUUGCCUCACAUUUUUUAUUGUUUUUUUGUUACAUGUAUACACACCAAGGAUUGUUACAUUUUCUUGGAGAAUGGACCCCUUUAUCAUUAUGCAGUGCUUCUCAUUAUCCCUGAUAAUUUUCCUUGCUCUGAAAUCUGCUUUACUGAAAUUAAUAUAGUGAUUCC
rnacentral:lncRNA from 1 species